UCCGCCUUGUACCUUAGUUAUGGCCGUUUAGUUCUCGCUUUUAAACAGCUUUCCAUUGCAGCCUUUGUGACAAUUCCUCAACGCAUUUCCUCGCUAACCGCCAAUCACAGGGUCCGUCUAUGCGCCUCAAGAAGAAGUGCAAUGCGACAUCGACCUCCUUAGCCUCUCCUCCGAGUAACAAUUCUGUACAAUUUCCAUUGGAAACGUCCAUGACCUGCUGUAUGUGUUCAUCCACCCUCUAAUGAAUUGGGACGCUUACACCAAACAAAUACGUUUUUGUUUUGGGCAAGUUUCUUUCACAUAUUCUCUCCUUGCAUGAACU